rnacentral:rRNA from 1 species
AACGAGCGCUGGCGGCACGCCUAACACAUGCAAGUCGAACGAGACCUUCGGGUCUAGUGGCGCACGGGUGCGUAACGCGUGGGAACCUGCCCUUAGGUUCGGAAUAACUCAGAGAAAUUUGAGCUAAUACCGGAUAAUGUCUUCGGACCAAAGAUUUAUCGCCUUUGGAUGGGCCCGCGUAGGAUUAGCUUGUUGGUGGGGUAAUGGCCUACCAAGGCGACGAUCCUUAGCUGGUCUGAGAGGAUGAUCAGCCACACUGGGACUGAGACACGGCCCAGACUCCUACGGGAGGCAGCAGUGGGGAAUAUUGGACAAUGGGCGAAAGCCUGAUCCAGCAAUGCCGCGUGAGUGAUGAAGGCCUUAGGGUUGUAAAGCUCUUUUACCAGGGAUGAUAAUGACAGUACCUGGAGAAUAAGCUCCGGCUAACUCCGUGCCAGCCGCCGCGGUAAAAC